rnacentral:rRNA from 1 species
ACUCCUACGGGACGCAGCAGUGGGGAAUAUUGGACAAUGGGCGAAAGCCUGAUCCAGCAAUGCCGCGUGAGUGAUGAAGGCCUUAGGGUUGUAAAGCUCUUUUACCCGGGAUGAUAAUGACAGUACCGGGAGAAUAAGCUCCGGCUAACUCCGUG